rnacentral:miRNA from 1 species
CAUCACGUGAAUCGUCCUGUGGAUGUGACCUCUCAUCAUGGGGGCUGUCACCCUCUGACCCCUGACUAGUCUGGAGCCCUGGGGGGCCAUUAGCUCUGUGCGUGGGGCCACGGGCAGCUCCUGGA